rnacentral:pre_miRNA from 12 species
UGUCCUGUCAUGGUUUUAUUUUGUGACCGACACUAACGGGUAAUAAAUGAAAUAAAUUCAAUUUUAAUUUACUCGUUUUGGCGAUCACAAAUUCUGAAAUUGUGAUAA